AACUUCGUCAUUUGUCUAUGGUGUGAUGUGUGUUUGCAAAACAUUUUAGUUUAAAAUUAUUAAAAUUAAAAUCUUAAGAAUUGUUUAUACCAAGUGUCCCUUCCUUUAAUAUUAAGAUAAUGACAGAAGUGCAGUUGCAAGAGUUCAAGUUGGAGCCAGACUCCGAACUUCGGUUCGAAGUUGAAUCUAAAAACGAAAAAGUUGUUUUGGAGGUAAAGAGUGGAUAUGCGGAGUUAUUUGGAACAGAACUAGUCAAAGGAAAACCGUAUGAGUUCCACACUGGUGCCAAGGUGGCGGUCUUUACGUGGCAUGGUUGCAUAGUGGAGCUACGAGGACGUACAGAAGUUAGCUAUAUUGCUAAAGAGACGCCUAUGGUAGUGUACCUCAAUGUGCACGCUGCGUUAGAGCAACAGAGAGUAGCAGCAGAGCAAGAGAACACAAGAGGACCUGUGACCAUGGUGGUAGGCCCUGGGGAUGUUGGCAAGUCAACAUUGACCAGGAUACUGCUGAACUACGCUGUGAGGAUGGGCCGACGGCCUAUUUAUGUUGAUUUGGAUGUCGGUCAAGGCCAUAUCAGUGUACCAGGCACUGUUGGAGCACUACUGGUAGAGCGGCCUGCGUCCAUUGAAGAGGGUUUCAGUCAGCAAGCCCCCCUGGUGUACCACUACGGACACAAGAGCCCCGGAGAGAACUUGGAGCUAUAUAAAACGAUUGUUUCUCGGCUAGCUGAGGUCAUUGCGGAACGGUGCGAGAAUAAUAAGAAAGCAUCCACAUCAGGUGUAAUAAUCAACACAUGUGGGUGGGUGAAGGCUGCCGGCUACAAAGUGCUGACUCACGCCGCUCAGGCGUUCGAGGUAGAUGUAAUCCUAGUGCUGGACAAUGAAAGACUGUACAAUGAACUGAAGAGGGACAUGCCAAAGUUUGUCAAAGUUGUGUACUUGCCCAAGAGUGGAGGGGUGGUGGAGCGGUCGUCGAGUCAGCGCGCCGAGUCCCGCGACGCGCGCAUUCGCGAGUACUUCUACGGCAAGCGGACCCCUUACUACCCGCACUCCUUCGACGUCAAGUUCGCUGACUUAAAGAUUUAUAAGGUGGGCGCGCCGUCGCUGCCCGACUCGUGCAUGCCGCUGGGCAUGCGCGCGUCGGACGCGCUGACGAAGCUGGUGAGCGUGUGGCCGUCGGGCGCGCUGGCGCACCGCGUGCUGGCCGUGUCGUUCGCGGGCGGGCCCGACGAGCGCGCGCUGCACUGCAACCUGGCCGGCUUCGUGUGCGUGUGAGUACUGCCGGGGGACGCACGCCGCUGGGCAUGCGCGCGUCGGACGCGCUGACGAAGCUGGUGAGCGUGUGGCCGUCGGGCGCGCUGGCGCACCGCGUGCUGGCCGUGUCGUUCGCGGGCGGGCCCGACGAGCGCGCGCUGCACUGCAACCUGGCCGGCUUCGUGUGCGUGUGAGUACUGCCGGGGGACGCACGCCGCUGGGCAUGCGCGCGUCGGACGCGCUGACGAAGCUGGUGAGCGUGUGGCCGUCGGGCGCGCUGGCGCACCGCGUGCUGGUCGUGUCGUUCGCGGGCGGGCCCGACGAGCGCGCGCUGCACUGCAACCUGGCCGGCUUCGUGUGCGUGUGAGUACUGCCGGGGGACGCACGCCGCUGGGCAUGCGCGCGUCGGACGCGCUGACGAAGCUGGUGAGCGUGUGGCCGUCGGGCGCGCUGGCGCACCGCGUGCUGGCCGUGUCGUUCGCGGGCGGGCCCGACGAGCGCGCGCUGCACUGCAACCUGGCCGGCUUCGUGUGCGUGUGAGUACUGCCGGGGGACGCACGCCGCUGGGCAUGCGCGCGUCGGACGCGCUGACGAAGCUGGUGAGCGUGUGGCCGUCGGGCGCGCUGGCGCACCGCGUGCUGGCCGUGUCGUUCGCGGGCGGGCCCGACGAGCGCGCGCUGCACUGCAACCUGGCCGGCUUCGUGUGCGUCACCGCAGUAGACAUGGAGAGACAGACCCUCACCAUUCUGUCGCCGCAGCCGCGCCCCCUCCCCAACACCGUGCUACUGCUGUCAGACC